CAACGACUCUCGACAACGGAUAUCUCGGCUCUCGCAUCGAUGAAGAACGUAGCGAAAUGCGAUACUUGGUGUGAAUUGCAGAAUCCCGUGAACCAUCGAGUCUUUGAACGCAAGUUGCGCCCAAAGCCGUCAGGCCGAGGGCACGUCUGCCUGGGCGUCACGC
rnacentral:rRNA from 1 species